UACGUAGGGUGCAAGCGUUAAUCGGAAUGACUGGGCGUAAAGGGUGCGCAGGCGGUUUGCCAAGACAGAUGUGAAAUUCCCGGGCUUAACCUGGGAACAGCAUACGUGACUGGCAGACUAGAGUAUGGCAGAGGGAGGUGGAAUUCCACGUGUAGCAGUGAAAUGCGUAGAGAUGUGGAGGAACACCGAUGGCGAAGGCAGCCUCCUGGGCUAAUACUGACGCUCAGGCACGAAAGCGUGGGGAGCAAACAGG
rnacentral:rRNA from 1 species